CCACAGCCCGGCUCACCCGGCUCCACUGCCACAAGCGCUGCUGAUUCACGUACGACCUGUUGGUCACCAGACUCCCUGGUCCUGUUCUGCAAAGCUGCUUCCAACCAGUCAGCCCCUGACCUGCCAUGGUGUGUGAGAUUAUUUCACCCCACACACGGGACUUUGCCUUCGCUGAGCUCCACCAGGAUCCUGCCGGCCCAUUCCCCAGCUCACCGAAGGUCCCUCCAGAGCACCAACAGCUUGCCCCGGGUUGGAGUCACCCAGGAGCUUGCUGGGGGCACUUUCAGCCUCACUGUCCCAUCACUACUAAGAAUACUUCCAGAAUUAAACUUGAAGGUGUGAUUCUGAGAAAUACACAGCAUUCAUAUUGAUAAGUUCUUGCCAGGAAUCUAAACAUAUGAAACAAUUGUCUCCAAAGCAAGUACUAUUUACUUCUCUAAGAAUCAGAGGAAAGUUGUGUUUUGGUGAAGCACUGACAGAUUGUGGACUAGUCCCCUUUGUGUUCUGUUUGGCAUCAAGGACACAGUUAAUUAGCAGUGGCAAUCAACCAGAGCCAUGACUUCAAGCAGCUGCAAAAGAACCAUCAGCAGUUGUCUCAGGAUAUUACCCUGAGCACAGAGCAGAGGUCUGGACUGUAGAAUCCGAGAUACAAGAUAGAUCCUGGAGCACUCUGGUCUGGAGCUAAAGCAAAGCAGUCAAAUGAGGAACAUUUCAACGUCUGGUCAAAGCAAGAUGGUAAUUGUCAGUAUGAGGAGGAAGCAGGCACUCCUGAGGCAGCAGUGGCUGCAGGAUCCCCAGGAAUAGCAGCAGGUGAAGACCUGGAGCCUAAUUGCAAGUAGAAGUAGCAGUUUAUGGCUGGCUUAGAGACUGAACAGGCAGUGGCAAAGUGAGCACAUCUUCCCCUACCAUGAGAAACACUGCUGAGCUUUGAGUGUGCAGCAAACCUUUGUGAAACUGCUGGGAUUUAUUGAUCACUUGGAUUGUUCUAACUGACAAAAGGGCAACUGAAAAAAUGCAAAGCGACUUCACCUGUGAGACUCCACAAUUUAAAUAAUUUCAUAGACCUGCUUCUGUUGGAUUGUUUUUAUUAAAAAGAUAAAGGGAUUGUGGAAGAUUGGAGGUCUUUGAUUCCUGGAUGAUCUUUGGACUCUCAGACUGCAAGGAUAAGGAAAAUAAGGAUUUGUGAUGAAGAGAUUCCUGCUGCUCAAGAGGUCCAGAAAGAGAUAAUGCUUUUUUGCAAAGCUUGUGUGAGCAGAGUUUACAUCAGCAAGACACUUAAACGUGGCUAAUUACAGGAGCAUCCUGCAGCCUGGAGAUGGUUUGUUCCCAGAGGCACUGCUUUCUUCAACCAGUUUUCCUUGGGAGCUACGUGAAAUCAUUUUGGAUGCUGGGGUAAUGGAAUGGAGAAAGAAGCCUCCAGUUGUAUAAAAACACCAUUAGGUCAUUGAUGCCUGAAAGCAGAGGUUAAAACCAGUGAUAUUUAUUUUGCCUCUGUCAGGUGGAGAAACAAAUCACUUUGUUAAAUAGAAAAAGACAACACUGACAGGGAAAGAAAGGUUAUAUUUGAAAGGAUGAGACAUGAUUCUUCUGGGGGGAGCAGAGUGUCUCAGCAUUCCCACAUAGAGAAGCCAAUCUUUAUGCUUAAAACAGUGAUGUGGAAUAAAGACCUUGGUCCUGUGCUCUUCUGGGUGAUAAUGUUUUAUAGUAAGUGAAUUGUGAAUCUUUUGGGCCUUUAUUCACAGUUACACUGAAGACCUUUAACACCCCUCUGGCAACUUGCUCAGCCUGCCAGACAAUAUUCCUUCCACACCAAUAAUGUUAUCAAAAAUAUUGAAGAAAGCCAACUGAAAAUAAAACUAUCAACAUCCUUUGGUUGAUCCAAUUAUCUGUCUCUAAAAAAGGGUUUUAACACCUCCCACACGGAACAGCAGCUCCAGUAAUUUGGCAACGAUAACAGUGCAUAAUCAGGAAACACGAGGCUGUGAUAUGUGGUAACACAUCCCAUUUUGUGUACAGGAAGAGUUUUGUUUAAGUAAAUAUAUUUUCUUCUUAA